UAGGGAAUCUUCGGCAAUGGGGGGCAACCCUGACCGAGCAACGCCGCGUGAGUGAAGAAGAUUUUCGGAUCGUAAAGCUCUGUUGUAAGAGAAGAACGUGUGUGUGAGUGGAAAGUUCACACAGUGACGGUAACUUACCAGAAAGGGACGGCUAACUACGUGCCAG
rnacentral:rRNA from 1 species